rnacentral:rRNA from 1 species
GCCUAGGAAUCUGCCUGAUAGUGGGGGACAACGUUUCGAAAGGAACGCUAAUACCGCAUACGUCCUACGGGAGAAAGCAGGGGACCUUCGGGCCUUGCGCUAUCAGAUGAGCCUAGGUCGGAUUAGCUAGUUGGUGAGGUAAUGGCUCACCAAGGCGACGAUCCGUAACUGGUCUGAGAGGAUGAUCAGUCACACUGGAACUGAGACACGGUCCAGACUCCUACGGGAGGCAGCAGUGGGGAAUAUUGGACAAUGGGCGAAAGCCUGAUCCAGCCAUGCCGCGUGUGUGAAGAAGGUCUUCGGAUUGUAAAGCACUUUAAGUUGGGAGGAAGGGCAGUAAAUUAAUACUUUGCUGUUUUGACGUUACCGACAGAAUAAGCACCGGCUAACUCUGUGCCAGCAGCCGCGGUAAUACAGAGGGUG